ensembl:miRNA
AACAUGACAUUGUGUCCUCAGAGACAUUCCUUGUCUUUUCUGAAGACUGUGAGAGUGCUGCGCUGUGUCUGUAGAAAAGACAGGAUGUCUCUGGAUAUCCAUGUACU